rnacentral:rRNA from 1 species
GACAGAGGAUGCAAGCGUUAUCCGGAAUGAUUGGGCGUAAAGCGUCUGUAGGUGGCUUUUUAAGUCUGCCGUCAAAUCCCAGGGCUUAACCCUGGACAGGCGGUGGAAACUACCAAGCUGGAGUGCGGUAGGGGUGACUGGAAUUCCUGGUGUAGCGGUGGAAUGCGCAGAUAUCAGGAGGAACACCGAUGGCGAAGGCAGGUCACUGGGCCGCAACUGACGCUGAGGAGCGAAAGCAUGGGGAGCGAACAGG